rnacentral:rRNA from 1 species
UACGAAGGGGGCUAGCGUUGCUCGGAAUCACUGGGCGUAAAGGGCGCGUAGGCGGCCAUUCAAGUCAGGGGUGAAAGCCUGUGGCUCAACCACAGAAUUGCCUUUGAUACUGUUUGGCUUGAGACCGGAAGAGGUAAGUGGAACUGCGAGUGUAGAGGUGAAAUUCGUAGAUAUUCGCAAGAACACCAGUGGCGAAGGCGGCUUACUGGUCCGGUUCUGACGCUGAGGCGCGAAAGCGUGGGGAGCAAACAGG